rnacentral:rRNA from 1 species
UACGAAGGGGGCUAGCGUUGCUCGGAAUUACUGGGCGUAAAGCGCACGUAGGCGGACCGAUAAGUCGGGGGUGAAAUCCUGGAGCUCAACUCCAGAACUGCCUUCGAAACUGCCGGUCUUGAGUUCGGGAGAGGUGAGUGGAACUGCGAGUGUAGAGGUGAAAUUCGUAGAUAUUCGCAAGAACACCAGUGGCGAAGGCGGCUCACUGGCCCGAUACUGACGCUGAGACACGAAAGCGUGGGGAGCAAACAGG